rnacentral:rRNA from 1 species
GUCGGAGGAGGCAAUCGUUAUCCGGAAUUAUUGGGCGUAAAGGGUACGUAGGCGGCUGGUCAAGUCUGGGGUCAAAGGCCACAGCUCAACUGUGGGAAGGCCCUGGAAACUGGCCGGCUAGAGUGAGGUAGGGGUUGCGGGAAUUCCCGGUGUAGCGGUGAAAUGCGUAGAGAUCGGGAAGAACACCUGAGGCGGAAGCGCGCAACUGGGCCUCAACUGACGCUGAGGUACGAAAGCUAGGGGAGCGAAUGGG